AACAGGAUUAGAUACCCUGGUAGUCCACGCCGUAAACGAUGUCGACUUGGAGGUUGUGCCCUUGAGGCGUGGCUUCCGGAGCUAACGCGUUAAGUCGACCGCCUGGGGAGUACGGCCGCAAGGUUCAAACUCAAAUGAAUUGACGGGGGCCCGCACAAGCGGUGGAGCAUGUGGCUUAAUUCGAUGCAACGCGAAGAACCUUACCUACUCUUGACAUCCAGAGAACUUAGCAGAGAUGCUUUGGUGCCUUCGGGAACUCUGAGACAGGUGCUGCAUGGCUGUCGUCAGCUCGUGUUGUGAAAUGUUGGGUUAAGUCCCGCAACGAGCGCAACCCUUAUCCUUUGUUGCCAGCGGUUAGGCCGGGAACUCAAAGGAGACUGCCAGUGAUAAACUGGAGGAAGGUGGGGAUGACGUCAAGUCAUCAUGGCCCUUACGAGUAGGGCUACACACGUGCUACAAUGGCGCAUACAAAGAGAAGCGACCUCGCGAGAGCAAGCGGACCUCAUAAAGUGCGUCGUAGUCCGGAUUGGAGUCUGCAACUCGACUCCAUGAAGUCGGAAUCGCUAGUAAUCGUAGAUCAGAAUGCUACGGUGAAUACGUUCCCGGGCCUUGCACACACCGCCCGUCACACCAUGGGAGUGGGUUGCAAAAGAAGUAGGUAGCUUAACCUUCGGGAGGGCGCUUACCACUUUGUGAUUCAUGACUGGGGUGAAGUCGUAACAAGGUAACC
rnacentral:rRNA from 1 species